rnacentral:rRNA from 1 species
GACGAACGCUGGCGGCGUGCCUAAUACAUGCAAGUCGAGCGGACGAAUCGAAAGCUUGCUUUUGAUUCGUUAGCGGCGGACGGGUGAGUAACACGUGGGCAACCUGCCCUGUAGACGGGGAUAACACCGAGAAAUCGGUGCUAAUACCGGAUAACACGAAAUGUCGCAUGACGUUUCGUUGAAAGACGGCGCAAGCUGCCGCUACAGGAUGGGCCCGCGGCGCAUUAGCUAGUUGGUGAGGUAACGGCUCACCAAGGCGACGAUACGUAGCCGACCUUAGAGGGUGAUCGGCCACACUGGGACUGAGACACGGCCCAGACUCCUACGGGAGGCAGCAGUAGGGAAUCUUCCGCAAUGGACGAAAGUCUGACGGAGCAACGCCGCGUGAGCGAAGAAGGCCUUCGGGUCGUAAAGCUCUGUUGUUAGGGAAGAACAAGUAACGCAGUAACUGGCGUUACCGUGACGGUACCUAACGAGAAAGCCACGGCUAACUACGUG